rnacentral:lncRNA from 1 species
UAAUUUCAUAUUAAAUCUAAAUUAAAGGAUUUAGUAUUUAGUUACCUUGCACAUGUUGGGAGGGCAGAGAUUGCAACCAUGAGGGGAUGUUUGAAAAUCAACAUAAGGAAGGAUUCGAAGCCUGCCUUCCUCAUCGACGUAACCUGGAUUGGUGUUGAUCUCUGAGAAACAAUCCCUAAUUCCGACAUGUUUCAAAAUAGUUUCAAUGAAGAAUACAUUUGCAUCGCUUAUUACUCUCAAAUCACACCUGAAUAUAUUAACACACAUUCAAUUAGUUUAAACCUCUGAUUUAUAUUAUGCAGAUUUAAAGAAAACAGAGGAAAUACAAAGCUGAAAUUAUGAGAUACGUACCCUAAUGCAUAAGCUGAUUUAAUAGCUGGAACAAUCCUAGGGUGUCUGGGAACCCGUUUCAGUACCUCUUCAAUGUCUUGUAUUGUUUUGCCUUGCGUAUGAAGCUCCUUCAUCAUUCUAUCCUGUAAUUUGAAACACAACAGAAAUUAUAAGCCCGAUGCACAAAGCUUGAUAGACAAGCAUAAAAGUACAGUAAGAAAAAAAAAGGUACCAUGAGAGAGUUCCAUGGCAUAGUGGGGAGAAGCUGAUUGAACAAAUCAGUGGCGCCUAACUCAUCCACCACCCAAUUAUCACUAUCCACAUCGAUAAUCGUCUUGUCAAAGUCGAAAAACACUACAAUUCCAGCCAUUUAUUUUGAGUAAAUUAUCGAGGAAUUAGAAACGAGAAAAGAGAGAAGACCUCUGUUUGUUGUUGUUAUGGGAUGUAUUUGAGUUUGUGAACACCAAACAUAUGAAGAGGGAGCUUUAUAGGGAGGGGGGAAAAAGGGAAUAAGGUACAAAAAAAAAAUAAGAUGCCAAGGAAUAUUACAUAAGUUAGUGGUAAGUUAACGCAAAUUCCUUUAGUCACUUGGUUUUGGAUAUUAGCCGUUAGAUUUUGAUCCUACGGUCGAUAAAUCUUUUUACUUUAUGGUAUAAAUAACUUUUCAUCUUAGUUGGGAGGAUUUAUGGAAAUUCGAAGGAAUAUGACAGAAUAUUCCAUGCGGUUCUCCACAAAUUAGGAUUGAACUUAAUCCUUGUACGAAUUACAUGGGAGAAUUAAUCUAGAUUUAUUUGUUUUUUUAGUGUUCUUUAUAUUUUAAUUACUCCUUCCGGCUCCAUCUCAUAUUAUUUAUCUAUUUUUUCUCUUUGCAUGCCACUUAAAAAUCAUAAAUAAAAAAUUCUUAAUAUAUAUUUUUAGUAUAAAAAUAGCUUAAAUACGGGUAAAUAUUUACGGUGACAGUAGCAAGAAGGGAAUCUGAAUAAGAGAGCAAGUGGUGGUUCUAUAUUAGGAGAUAUUCGAUCAUAAUUCCAAUUGUUACUAUAACUGUGGUAGUGGCAAAUGGCAAUUAUGAUGAUUUAUGAUAUAAAAAAUUAAAUAUAUGAAAAAAUUAAGAGCAAUAUAUAUAUAUAUAUAUAUAUAUUACUUUUCAUUAAAAAAAAUCGAUUGAGCCCUUCUCUUCCCUAACACCAAAUGAAUCAGAUUCAGAAUUGUAUGUGUCAAGUGGCAUAUGAAAUUAAAAGUUAUCAAUUGGAUUAAUGGAGCAGAAAUAUUCACGUUUUGAAUGAUAAUAUUAUUCAUUGAUCGUAACGAAUGUUGACUUAUUCUGAAAAAAUUAUGUAAAAGCUUUACAUAAUUAUUAUGAAGCUAAGCGAUGAAAAAAUGAUUUUAAUAAUUGAAGUUAUAUAUUCUAUUAUAGGAUUUAUCCAUACAAAUAAUAGAGCACAUACAAAAACUUUGAAAUAUUGCUUUUGAACACUAAAAAGAAAUUUAUUUUUACAACAAGCUUUUAAUAAUAUGAUUGUGAUUUGUCAUUACGUGUAAGAUUAUCUCCACUGUAGAAAGAAAUGAAAUUUCAAGGGGACAUCUGGAGAACUCUAGGAAAAAUGAAAUUACGGGUAUGUUUGGAAAGUCACCAAGUAAUUAGAAUUGGUGUAAUUACUAGGGUAGUAAUUACCAGCAUAGUAAUUACACAGUCUAGUAAUUACACUGACAUAUUUGAUUGUCACAGUGUAAUUACACUGUAACUACACAUGUCCUGUUUGGAUGCCACAGUGUAAUUACACAUGUUCUGUUUGGAUACACAAUUGCAAUCAUAAAUUAUAAUAAAUUUUAAAAUAAAAUUAAUCAUUUAAAAUUUAUACUAGACAAAUAAGAAAUUUUAUAAAUGACAUUAAAUUAAAUAUUUAAGAUAUAUAUUCUUUUUUGAAAAUAUAUUAAUUAAUAAACAUAUUUACUGUAACUAAUAUUAUGAAAAAAUAAUUGAUUUAUAUAUUUUCAAAUUAAUAUAUUUCAAUUGAAUUGAUCGUAACAACUAAAAGUAUGAAGUUUCUACGAACAUUAUGAAAUGCAUGUUUGAUAAAAAGAAUAGUAAUAUAUAAAUAAAAUAUCAUAAAUUAUUAAAUGUUUGACAAAAAUAUAAUCUAUCAAGUCUAAUUAAAAAAUGACGUGCAAUGUAAAUUCAAUAUUACUAAAACAAAUGAAACUGAAAAUAUAACAUAAGUAAUAAAUUCAAAACAAAAAAUUUAACAUAAUACUCUUAUAACAAAUUUCAACAUAGCAAUAAAUAUGAUUUAUUUUUAUUUCUUCAUAAUAAAGAAAACGUAGGUCUAUAACCUUACUUAACAUAAAUUCUAUUUUAAUUUAAAAAUUAGAAUACUAAUAAAAUUAUGCUAAUGAGAAAAUAAACAUGGCAUAAAGAAAUAGAUAAUACGAGAAAAUUACAUAAAAUCAUGUAAAGUAAGGUUGAGAAUAAGAAUAAAAUGAAAUAUAAUAAUAAAAAAUAAAAAAUAAAAAAUAGACUUUUACAAAUUUUAGAAUAAUAAAAAUAAAAAUAAAAAGAAAUUAAAAUAAUAGAAGUAAAAAAAAUUAAAACAAAAAAAAUAAAAAAUAGAAAUUAAAAAAAAAUGAAAUAGUAAUCAGGGGGUAAUUACACCAUGUAAUUACCAGCAUUCACAGCCUUUGCCUGUGAAUUGUAGAGUGUAAUUACCCCCUGCCAAUUACACCAACUACAUGUUGACCAAGUAAUUACAUGUCCUUCCAAACAGGACAAGACAGUGUAAUUACACCAAUUACAUCAAAUCCAAUUACCAGGGUGUCCUUCCAAACAGACCCGUGAUCAGUUUGUUGAUUUAGAAGCAUUCAAAUUAUUAUUAUUUUUGACACGUCCACCAGAUAAAAGGCAAUAGCAUGAUUCUUGCUUUUAUUUUUCACUUAUCUUGCCAGAUCUUGAUUUGGUAAUGCACCAUUAUCAUGUGAUAUGUUUCUUAGAUGUUUACUUUUUAUAUAUGGACGGUGUAUUGGUAUUAAACAAUAUCAAUUAUAAAAGGGUAGUUCUUAAUUAUUAUUUAUGAACUAGUGUACUUGUCCGUGCUUUGUAUGGAUAUAAAAAGAUAUUAAAUAUAUUUUAAAAUAAUUAAUAAAUGAUAUAAUAAAAGAGAGAAAUACAAAUUAAGUUAUGAUUAUAAUAUUAUCUAUUCAGAAAAAUUGCUAAAAAAUCUCAUGCUGCAUUUUUCAAUUUAAAAUUGCUGAUAAAAAAGAUGAAAACAUAAAAAUUGAUAUGAAAAGCUUCAGUUAAGUAACAAUCUAAUUAUCAUAGUUUCAUACUAAAUUCAAUGAUUCUUACAGUAAUAUUAUUGGUUCAACCAACAAUACUAAAUCUACUCGAUCAUAAAUUACAUGAUUUUUUUUUAUUUUGUAUAAAUGACUCUAUAAUAAAAAAUAUACAAAUGAAAAUAUAUUUGUACUAAAUCAUGGUGAGAAAAAAAUAUACUUGAAUUACAUUCGAACAUAUUUAUGCCCGAGAUUUAAAAGUUAGAGAAUUUUUUUUCGAUAUUUGAUGCUCGUACUGGCAUUCAUUUACUACAUAUUUGUGUCACAAGAUCCAUUAAUAUUAAAAAUAUAUAUUUAAACUUUCAUUCUUAUAGUAAGCACUGCGAUAAGAGAAAAUCAAGUUGCUAUAGUGAAACACUGUCGUUGAGGUUUUACUUUUACAAUAAAAAUAAAAUAAAAUUAAUCACAUAAUUUAUCGUAUAGAGAUUAUCAGUAGUGAGAAGAAAUAUUUUUUUUAAAAGAAUACGUGUAUGCAACGACGAAGAUGUAGAAAAAGUACCAAGAGUUGAAUAAUUUUUUACAACACUAAUACAAUUGUUCCUAUUAUUACAAUAUUAUUGUGGUAAUUAUUACAUGUCUCAAAAUAGGUUUUUAUAAGUGUCAUUUUAAGGAGUUAUAAAUUUGUAUAUUAAAUAAUAUGAAGGUUAUGAAUAUGAAAGGUUUGGAGUUAUAGAUAUUACUAAAUUAAUUAAGAUUUAAAUUUAUGUAAUUGAAGAGGUAUGAAUUAAGAAGAUGAUUUUAUAAAAUAAAAUAAUUGAAAAAGAUUAGAAAAAAUGUCAAAAAAAAUUAUAAUAUAUAUUGAUGUUAUUUAUAUUUCUUCUCCUGUUUUUGGCUUUUAUCGUUAUUUACCUUUAUAUAUAUAUAUAUAUAUAUAUAUAUAUAUAUAUUCUCCUAUUUUUGGCUUUUAGCGUUAUUGUGUUUAAAUUUUCUCUUUUUUAUUUAUUAAUUUAUGUGCUAUAUAUUAAUUCCACAUUAGUCUUACUUUAUUAUUUCAAUAAAACCUGAAAAGUGAAACACCCACUCUCUUCCUUUACCGAUUAGAAAAUAAAUGUUCAUCAUUUUUAAUAAAUUAAAUUAUAUGCUUACACUUUGUAUAAAUUAUAUGCAUAUAGUUUGUUUGAAUGGAAAGUGCAAUAGCAUAUAAUAUUAGAUUUCUCCUUUUCUUUCUUUGUUCUUUCACAUUUUUCAUUGAGGUAUCAACUAUAUUCUUUUAAUUGUUUAUAUGAUACAGUUUUUGGAGCUGGUCAUUUUUAAUUAUUACGUAGUAAUAAUAGAAAUGUUUAUAUGUAAUCCACACAAAGAAGAUUAAUUUAUAUAUAUGACUAAAUGAUAUCAUGAACAUGACUAUUAACAUAAUUUAGAAUUUGUGAUCAUUAAAAAUCAUGAAAGUAAGGAAAAUAAAGUCAGUUAAAUAUCAAAUAAUUUUAUGAACAUAACUAUAUUAAUAUAAUUUAGAAGUUAUAUGAUCAUCAAAUGUCAUGAAAGUAAGGAAAAUAAAGGCAAUUAAAAAUUUCUAUUAAAGAAAUAUGAAUAAAUGAAGGAGUAGUAAUUGACAUAUUUAUUUAUUUACAAUAAUAAGAAAUAUAUAAACAAAAAAAUUAUCAAGAAAAUGAAAGAAAAAAAGAUAAAUAUGAUUCUUGGCAAAAAAAAAAAAGUGGCAUAUCACUUUUCUUUUAGAUAAUUUAUAUAUUUGUAAAGAACGUAAAUAGAGAGACAAACAGUUUUACUAAAUGAUUUUUAUCCUAAACAAAUACUUUUACAUUUUGAGUUCGAAUCCAACAAAUCAUAAUAGUGAUCUCUAAACAUCUCAAAACUUGAAAAUUUCUAACAAUAAUAAUAAUAAAAAUUAAAAUAUGAAGAUUGCAAAGUUACAUAUUAAUAAUCAAUUUUUCUAUGAAUUAAACUGUAACUUGAAAAUUACAAAUCAACUUUACAUUCUCAUGUUCUAUCAUUAUAAUUAAUAAAAAUUGAUCCACAUAACUACAAAAUUAUCUACAUACUUUCUUGAGUAGCAUACAUGUAUAUGUUAACUCCCUUUUCUACCUUAACUUGAAAAUACGAUAAGUUAACUUUACAACAACACAACAACAACAACAACAACAAAUACAUAAAAAUAAAGUUAACUAAUCAAGUAAAAACUUUAAAGAAUAUUCAAUUAUGAGCAUGAAGAGGAAAGAAGGACCAUGUUCUCAACAUAACAUAAUCCAAUUCUCCAAAACCUACAAAGAGAAGAAGAGAGUAAAAAUAAUCAGAUUCUUUGGAAACUACAAAAAUAAGUAUAUAAAAAAAAAUCUUAAGAAACCACAAAGAGAAGCAAAAGAGAAAAAAAUCACAUUAUUUUCUAAAAAAAUAAAUCAUGAUUUGUAUCAUCUACAAUUCAAAAAAAUAAAUAUUAAAUAUAUAAUUACAAUAAAAAAAGUGAUAAUUAUAAGUAUUAGACAUGUCAAACCAAACUAUGCAAGGAUGUCUAACAUUAAUAUUCUCUAGAAACGACAAAGAGGAAAAAAACAAAUUAUUUUUUCCCAAAAUUAAAAAACCUCAUGAUUCGUAUAAUCAAGAAUAAAAAAAUUAAAUAUAUAUUUACAAUAGAAAAAAGUGAUAAUUAUACUACGUAUGUCCAAACAUUUUACCUCAUAAAAUCCAACUGUGUAAAACAUUCUUCAUUAUACAUAUCUCUCCUGCAAAAUAAGAUCAAAGAAGACAAAAAAUGACCAACCAAAGAAACACAAGAUGAAGAAUAAGAAAAUGAAAAUAAAAUAAUCAUCAUACAUAUCUCAAGAUAAGUUUUUAUAAGUGUCAUUUUAAGGAGUUAUAAAUUUGUAUAUUAAAUAAUAUGAAGGUUAUGAACAUGAAAGGUUACGAGUUGUAGAUAUUACUAAAUUAAUUAAGAUUUAAAUUUAUGAAAUUGAAGAGGUGUGAAUUUAGAAGAUGAUUUUAUGAAAUAAAAUAAUUGAGAAAAAUUAGAAAAAAUGUCAAAAAAACCACAAAAAAGAUAAAUAAGAUCUUGGGCAUUGAGAGGUGCCACAUCACUUCUUUUUUAUCUAACUUUAUAUAUAUAUAUAUAUAUAUGAUUGGACAAUUUUGAUUUUUUAAAGUUAAUAUAUUUAAUCAGUUCAUUAGCUUUGACGAGAAUUAAGGGGGGAAAUAAAGAAGGAAGAUAGAGGAAAUUCAAAUUUAGAGGUAUAUUGUGGUAACCAGACAAGUCAUUGAAAUCACGAAAUUCAAUGACUUUUCUUAGGACCCGGCCAUAGAUUUCUCAAGUAAAAUUUAGGGGAAAAUUUGGCAAAUAAUGUUUAUCCAUAUAAUUUGUCAUUAUUUGACAAAUAUUUUUGGCAAAUAACUCAAAUUCUCAAAUACUAAAAAAACUAGUAUUUGGGUCAAAUCUCAUUAUUUGGGAUCUUUUAAAAAUUAAACUCUACACCAAAUUUUUAUCUUUUACAGAAACACCCUCUAUAAUAGUUGUUUGCGUUGUAUUACAUAAUUUUUUACGUAAACACCAAAGUAGUGAUAGAAUAUUUAGUGAAUAUGAAAGUGAUGAUAUGUUUAUUGAUGAAAAUGAUGAACAAUCGGCUCAGGGUAACAAAGUCAUUUGCUUUGUCUACUUCACAAUGUAUAGGACGAUGCUUGUUGUACUCAUUCUGAACUACCAUAUUGCUCUAGUGUCAUGGACACUACUUGUUAUUUGUUGCAACGAAGAUCCAAUUGACUUGUAAUACAAACCUAUGGUUAGUUUUGGUAGUUUUUAAAAACUUAUGGGUAUAAAUCAUAUUUCCUAAAAAAGUGAAAUAUGUUUCCCAAAUACUAUGGCCAAACACAUGGUGAAAUUUCACCCAAAUUUUAACCCAAAUAAUAUUUGCCAAAAAUAUUUGGAAAUCUAUGGCCAAACGCUAACUUAGUAAAUUCUCAAAGUUGAGUAAUCUUUUGAGAUAUUACCUCAAUUUUAUUCACCACUCAAAAGAGAGAAAUUUUAUUGUGAAGGAAGGUCGUGUGUUCUAAUGAUGGGUUAUAUAAACUCUUCACCUUAUUCGGAGUUGUUUGAGUCACAUGAUAUUAUUCAGUUGUUGUAUCUGAAUAGAAUGGGUCCAGAGUAAUAUAUAUUGCUACACCAAAAAGGAUCUUUAGUGGCAAUAAAUUAAUUGCCGUUAAAUAUGUAUUUUUACUUUUUAGCGUCAAUUAGCUAGUAUUCUUUGUAAAUGUCCAUAAUAUCUAUAGUGACACUAAAUCUAAUGACAAUUAUCUAAUGCUGAUAAAAAUUUUACCACUCUCUGUUAAUAUAUAUAUUUAUUGCCGCUAAAAAUUAUUUUUGUUAUAAUAUAAAUCGGUUAAAUUAGACUUAAAUCUCCUUAAAGAAAACAAGAUUUGUAUGCCUUAUUUAUUUAUUUUUAUCAUUUUAUUUUCCAACUACAAUUUACUAUAAUAUAUGGUAUAUUCACCGACACACGGAUAUGAUUAAUAACUUCAGCAAAAGACACAUCCUCUUUGCACCUUACCUGCCAUUUACCAUCGGAAGGCAGAAAUAUUCUAAAAUUAUUCAAUAAAAACAAAUAUAGGAGUUUAUAGAAAGGCGGGGACAGAUUCAGUAUUUUUAAUACAGAAAAGGGUAAAUUAUUCUUAAACUAUGCGAAAUAAAAAAAAGGGAGACGCAAAAGUUAGGUAUUCCCUUUUGUGGUAAUUGACCAAAUUAAUGAAACCUUAAAUAAGCUAAUUGACAAACAUUGUAAAAGAAAUUCAAGCAUCAAUUCACAUUGCAACACUAUUUGUGGAAAAGACAGAUUACAAUCGUUCAGAUUAUUUGUUUAAUAUAUGUAGGUUAGAGUGUCUACUUAAGCUGAAUUCGAUAAUGUUGUAAUUCGCGGUCUCUUAACAAUACUUAGGACAUGAAACAAAUUGUUCUUAUAUAUAUCAAAGGGAAAAGGGUUAAAAAUACCCCUCAACUUUGUUUUAUUGUUUGACUAUACCCUUACCGUUAAAACGAAGUUAUUUUUGCCCCUGCCGUCUACAAACUCAUCACAUUUACCCCUCAAUUGGAUGGAAACCCCCAAAUCAACAAAAAUAACCCGAUUUACUUAAAUUAACCAAUUUUAACCCGACUCGACCCAUCAAAUGAUACAACCCACCUAUGUUCAUCUUCAUUUUUAACCUAAUUUAUCUGUCUCCCUAUUUCCUACUUCCUACUGUUCAUCUUCAUCACUUCCUUGAGCUUCAAAUCAAACAUUCUUCUUUGCCUUCUUUUCCAUCUUUUCCGCAGCUCACGUCUCGGGCAUCAUUAUGCCAUUACAGGCAUCUCUUCAAUACCCCAUUCUCUUCCUUAGAACCUGCCCUAAAUCUGAUACUUCCAGCAAAGUUAAAUUCGAAAUCUCAUUAACUAUCGCUGAUACUCUCCCUGAUGGAGCCAACUUUGAUUCGUGAGCUGAUGUUGUGAAAUUUGAACUAAUUAACGGUUUAGUAAAGCUGUAGAAAUGGGUUUCAGAAUUUUUUUGAAUCUUGGACUGUGGAAUUGUGAAUGCACAUAAGGUGUUAGAUAUGUGGAAAUAGUUCUGGAACGGUGAUACAGAGAAUUAGAAAUAAAUCGAUUGAAACAUCUCAUGAUUAUGACAUAAAAGCUUCUGACUGAAUUGCUUGGGCUUUGUAAUGGUGCCGGAACAGUGAUUACGGCGACGAUGGGUUUAAUCGUCUGGGAAGUAGGAAGGUUGGGGAAGUUGAGGUUUUAGGCUUACUUACUUGUAUUUACUUAAUCCCAUUAGGUUAUGAAAAUGUUAUUCAUGUCUUUGAAAAUGUAUUUUCCUCCAUUGUUUUUUGCCUUGAUCUCAAGAUGAAGAUGAACAAAGCGGGUCAUCUAUUAGAUGGAUCGGAAUCGGGUUAAAAUUGGUUAAUUUAAGUAAAUCGGGUUAUUUUUGUUGAUUUGGGGGUUUCCAUCCAAUUGAGGGGUAAAUGUGAUGAGUUUGUAGACGGCAGGGGCAAAAAUAACUUCGUUUUAACGGUAAGGGUAUAGUCAAACAAUAAAACAAAGUUGAGGGGUAUUUUUGACCCUUUUCCCUAAAAAAAAUAACUUCACUUAUAAUUUGAUUUAAAAAUACCUUUGCCGUUAAUAAUUUUGUUCAAAAAUACCUUUAUUAUUUGACUUACUUUCCUUUUUAAGCCGAUUGAAAAAAAAGUGACUCAUUUCCUUUUUAGGAACAUGGUAAUUCCUAUUUUGCACGUGACAUGUUUAAUAUCACAAGAUUAAAAAUAUUUUGAUACAUUUGACUUAUCUUUAAUUUAAGACCACGAGAUUCAAUUCAUUAUUUUUUAAACCUCCGUGUCAAGUCAAAAUAGGACAAACAAAUUAAAAAUCGGAGAGAGCAGAAAUGUAAAAUAAAAAAUUAAGGAAUUUUCGUGUUUUUGUUUUUGCCUCCUAAAAGGAGGACCAAACAGACUAUUACACUCUGUAGGUUCAGAAUUUUUAGAUUCUUUAACAUUGAAUUAUUUAAAAAAAAUACAAGUUCAUGUAUGUAUACUAUUUAUGAGUACAAUUUUAAUAAUUUUUUACUCAUAAGUUUAUGUAGUGGGUCGAAAAUUAUGAGUGAAAUUGAAUCUUCUGAACUCAAACCACAUGUUCAAUAAUAGCAAUCACUUUUUAACUUUCGAAAGAAAAAAUGUCUACAACAAUCUCGUAGCCCAUUAGUACUUAGUAAGGCACUGGAAGAGCCGGUGGCAAUGCUCCAUGAGUUGCUUUUGACAUUGUCUGGAAUUUGCAGUACUCAACUGAUAACAAUCGGCUUUCUUCAACACUGAUUGUGUUUAUUAGUUGUAGUAGAAUGUGCUCGAAUUCUUCCCCAUCUGCCCACUCGUGGACAGUUGCUUUUACUAGUGUCCUGUUUUUAUUUAUCAAAUUCCAGGCUGGGAAAUCUUUUCUUGGCAUCACAAAAUCUGCUUCCAUGAGCUUCAAACUGGGACAGAAAUCCCCGAUUCCAUCACCUAGAUAGAUCAUUCUUUUCUUCCCUUCUUUAGUCAUGCUGGCUUGAAUUCUUUCUACUAUCAUACCCUGCAUUAAACAGAAUCUCAAUUAGGAAAACUAAUUUCAUAUUAAAUCUAAAUUAAAGGAUUUAGUAUUUAGCUACCUUGCACAUGUUGGGAGGGCAGAGAUUGCAGCCAUGAGGGGAUGUUAUAAAAUCAACAUAAGGGAGGAUUCGAAGCCUGCCUUCUUCAUCGACGUAGCCUGGAUUGGUGUUGAUCUCAGAGAAACAAUCCCUAAUUCCGACAUGUUUCAAGAUAGUUUCAAUGAAGAAUACAUUUGCAUCGCUUGUUACUCUC